GUGCUGAGGCAGAGCUGAGUUGCUCAGGCACCCGCAUCUCGUCGGACUUUAUGUCGCCUCAUCACCAAGAUGGGGAACGCGUUCCCAUCAUGUGGCUCUUCCAUCAAUUCUUAACUUUUGGCUCCAUGGUUUCUUGAAGACAGAGUGACCUUCACCACUCAAGACAGCAUCCUGAUUUCUGCCACUUUCGAGGAUGGGGUGGUGGGCUGGGAAGGGACGGUGCCUGUGGUCCGAAGCGGCACAGGUGUAGAGAUGGAAGUGCCCUUUGCUGGGCCAGCCAGAGGGGCACCACCCCAACACCAAUCAUAUCACAGAGAAACAGCACCCUUAGUUCCUAGAGUGUAACCAGAUCUUUGAGGCCAUCUCCAGAAACACUUCUUUUCCUGCUCUUUCUGCUCUGAUUUCCUUCCUGCCCCACCAGCGACACACAAGAAGAAGAAGAGGAAACGCACCAGGAAGUUUUCUCUUUGCUGCCAAACUUUUGGACCAAGUUUCAGAGGUGGGAAGUGGGAGAGCACAACGUGUUGAGAGGCAAGACCCGCAUCAAUAAAAGGACACUUCCGUGAAUGCUCAGAAAACCCAGUCUUACCUUCCAGCUGCCUUACACCCAGUUAAACAAGCGAACGCCCUGCCCCAAGCCCCACCUGCAUUCCCUGGGCAGACGAGAGCCUUGAAGUAACGCUGUGAUGUGCGUGCGUGCGUGUGUGUAUAUGUGUGUGUGUGUGUGUGUGUGUGUGUGUGUGUGUGUAUACUCAACUAUAGCACUUGAUUUCCCUUUUUUCUUCUUUUCACCUUUGAAAAUGGAAAUACUGCAUUAUGACUGUUGUCUAUCAUUUGUGGUGGUUUCAUGGUCCUGGAUGGAGGCCCCAACCAAGAAGCAUCAUGAGGGGAAGGCCUCCAGGGGUACCAUUUCUGCAGUUUCAGAUCCCUGGAGUAUGUGCGUGUGUGUGUGUAUGUGUGUAUCUCUCGGGUGCAUUUUGUGUACACUUGUGUCAAUAAGUACCUGGAUGCAGGCAUGCGUGUACUAUUCAAGACUUCCUUGCUAG
rnacentral:lncRNA from 1 species